ACUCCUACGGGAGGCAGCAGUUAGGAAUAUUCGGCAAUGGGGAAAGCCCAUCGACGAGCCGACACUGCGUGAAGGAGGAAGGCCUUAGGGAGCUUGGUAAAACUUCUGAACGAGAGACGAUAAUGACGGUAUCUCGGUAAUAGCACCGGCUAACUCCGUGCCAGCAGCCGCGGUAAUACGGAGGGUGCGAGCGUUAUCCGGGAAUCACUGGGCGUAAAGGGCGCGUAGGCGGUUACAUAAGUCCGAUGUUAAAGCGUAGGGCUCAACCCUAUAAAGGCGUUGGAUACUGUGAAACUAGACUUCUGGAGAGGUAAGUGGAAUUACCAGAGUAGCGGUGAAAUGCGUAGAUACUGGUAGGAACACCCAUAGCGAAGGCAGCUUACUGGACAGAGAGUGACGCUGAGGCGCGAAAGUGUGGGGAGCAAACCGGAUUAGAUACCCUGGUAGGUCAGU
rnacentral:rRNA from 1 species